rnacentral:rRNA from 1 species
UACGGAAUGUGCAAACGUUAUUCGGAAUCACUGGGCUUAAAGAGUCCGUAGGCGGCAUGUUAGGUGAGGUGUGAAAUCCCCCGGCUCAACCGAGGAAUUGCGCUUCAAACCGGCGUGCUUGAGGAAGAUAGAGGUGGGCGGAACUGAUGGUGGAGCGGUGAAAUGCGUUGAUAUCAUCAGGAACACCGGAGGCGAAGGCGGCCAGCUGGGCCGUUGCUGACGCUGAGGCGCGACAGCGUGGGGAGCAAACAGG